rnacentral:rRNA from 1 species
CCUGGUAGCGGGGGAUAACUAAUUGGAAACGAAUAGCUAAUACCGCAUGAAAUGGAUUAUCGCAUGAUAAUCGAUUGAAAGGUGCAAAUGCAUCACUACCAGAUGGACCUGCGUUGUAUUAGCUAGUUGGUGAGGUAACGGCUCACCAAGGCAACGAUACAUAGCCGACCUGAGAGGGUGAUCGGCCACACUGGGACUGAGACACGGCCCAG